UCCUACGGGACGCAGCAGUGAGGAAUAUUGGUCAAUGGCCGAGAGGCUGAACCAGCCAAGUCGCGUGAGGGAUGACGGCCCUACGGGUUGUAAACCUCUUUUGUCGGGGAGCAAGACCCGCCACGAGUGGCUGAGCGAGAGUACCCGAAGAAAAAGCAUCGGCUAACUCCGUGCCAGCAGCCGCGGUAAUACGGAGGAUGCGAGCGGUAUCCGGAUUUAUUGGGUUGAAA
rnacentral:rRNA from 1 species